GACGGAGGGUGCAAGCGUUGUUCGGAUUGACUGGGCGUAAAGGGCGUGUAGGCGGUUCGUUAAGUCGGGUGUGAAAGCCCGGGGCUCAGCUCCGGAAGUGCGUCCGAAACUGGCGAGCUGGAGCGCGGUAGAGGAGGGUGGAAUUCCUGGUGUAGCGGUGAAAUGCGUAGAUAUCGGGAGGAACACCUGUGGCGAAAGCGGCGCACUGGACCACAA
rnacentral:rRNA from 1 species